rnacentral:rRNA from 1 species
UUCCGGUUGAUCCUGCCGGAGGCUACCGCUAUUGGAGUUCGAUUAAGCCAUGCGAGUCGCGAGUCUUAGGGACUCGGCGUACCGCUCAGUAACACGUGGGUAACCUGCCCUAUGCUGGGGGAUAACCUCGGGAAACUGAGAAUAAUACCCCAUAGUUCACUACGCCUGGAACGGUGAGUGGAUGAAAGCUCCGGCGGCAUAGGAUGGGCCUGCGGCGUAUCAGGUCGUAGGGGGUGUAACGUACCCUCUAGCCAUCGACGCGUACGGGUGUUGGGAGACAUAGCCCGGAGAUGGAUUCUGAGACACGAAUCCAGACCCUACGGGGUGCAGCAGGCGCGAAAACUUGGCAAUGCGAGAAAUCGUGACCAGGGAACUCCAAGUGCAUCGGGUAAGACCGAUGCUUUUCUUGACUCUUCAAAGGUCUUGGAAUAAGGGGUGGGUAAGGACGGUGCCAGCCGCCGCGGUAAUACCGGCGCCCCAAGUGGUAGUCGCUUUUAUUGGGCCUAAAACGUCCGUAGCCGGUCUGGUACAUUCGUGGGUAAAUCAACCAGCUCAACUGGUUGAAUUCUGCGAGCACGGCCAGACUUGGGACCGGGAGAGGUGUGGGGUACUCUCAGGGUAGGGGUAAAAUCCUGUCAUCCUGAGAGGACCACCUGUUGCGAAGGCGCCACACUAGAACGGAUCCGACGGUCAGGGACGAAGCCUAGGGGCACGAACCGGAUUAGAUACCCGGGUAGUCCUAGGUGUAAACGCUGUGGACUUGAUGUUGGGGGCGCUCCGAGCGCACUCAGUGUCGAAGCGAAGGUGAUAAGUCCACUGCCUGGGGAGUACGGUCGCAAGGCUGAAACUUAAAGGAAUUGGCGGGGGAGCACCACAAGGGGUGAAGCCUGCGGUUCAAUUGGAUUCAACGCCGGA